GGCAGAGUAACACGUAGACUUUCAGAAUCAGUCCCUGAGGAAAGCGUCACUUAACUGAGAAGAUGUGCAGGGAAAGGUCGGGCAUCGCAGCAGCACAGGUCUGGCGUCUGUGGGCAGGAGUGGGCGGCCUCAGCCUGCCGCGUCCCCGUCGUUCGUAAGAGUAGCUUUCACUAGCGUUCUGAGAAGGAAAGGCACAUGAUAACAUUUUCUAACGUUUGGUGACUGAAACAGGUUAUGGGCUCUAUAUUACUGUUAGUACUCCCAGAGGUAUGUAUUUAAUUUUCUUAAAUUCCCUUUAAAGAAACCUAAUUUUAUGGUUUUGAUUUCAGGUUGCAAACAUUGAACGUCUGCGGCAGCAGCUCUCCAUUCUGCCAGUUCUUUUACUGUCAUGUAAUCAGCUAACUGUGGAAAAGAAUUGUACGUUACAAAACCAGACCCUCGUUUCAGAAUCUGCCAGACUCUGGGCUGCAGUUCUGUCUGCUGCCCGUGCGGGCGGCAGCCCCGUGUUGGCACCCCGCCUGCGAGCAGGGGUGAAGAGUGGUAUGUUUGUUAGCGGUGUGUGCUGUCUGUUGGGCAAGCUGUGCCCGCUGUCGCGGUGGCAAACAGGACUCCCUCUGGGGGAGGCGCCUGUGUCCUGUCUGGUGCCUGGUCAGGUGACUCAGCUAACACGUGAGCCCUAACCGCGCACGGAGGCCUAGGAGGGAUCCUUCACAUUGGUACGGUUACAGUUCAGGUUUCCCCCAAAUACAGCUCCUCUGGUGUAUCCAGCUGUACGUUAAACUAGGAACAAAGUUGUGUAACGAAAGCACAGCUGUUGCCACAGUGCACGGAGACUGCGGAGAUGCGGCACCCUGAACACCCAGGAAUGUUCCGACACACCGUGUUAGAGGCCAGUGUGAGAGUGUGGUCCCGGCUCCGCCACGCCGGGUGCGACCUUGCCUCCUCCCUCGAAUAACAGAAUAGGGACAUACUGGGCCAGCUGCGAGGGAGCCCUUGCCCAGCGGCUGUGCUUGCAGCUGCCGAGCCUCGCGGUGCUGCGAAGGGCGCCGGUGUGCGCCCUGGAGUUUCCCCUCGG
rnacentral:lncRNA from 1 species